rnacentral:rRNA from 1 species
AACGUAGGUUCCGAGCGUUAUCCGGAUUUACUGGGCGUAAAGCGCGUUCAGGCGGUUCGGCAAGUCGGGCAUGAAAUCUCUCGGCUCAACCGGGAGAGGUUGUCCGAUACUGCUGGACUUGAGGGCAGUAGAGGGUGGUGGAAUUCCGGGUGUAGUGGUGAAAUGCGUAGAUAUCCGGAGGAACACCAGUGGCGAAAGCGGCCACCUGGACUGCACCUGACGCUGACACGCGAAAGCUAGGGGAGCGAACAGG